rnacentral:rRNA from 1 species
UGGGGAAUAUUGCACAAUGGGCGGAAGCCUGAUGCAGCGACGCCGCGUGGGGGAUGAAGGCCUUCGGGUUGUAAACUCCUUUCGACAGGGACGAAGCUUUUGUGACGGUACCUGUAUAAGAAGCACCGGCUAACUACGUGCCAGCAGCCGCGGUAAUACGUAGGGUGCGAGCGUUGUCCGGAAUUACUGGGCGUAAAGGGCUCGUAGGUGGUUUGUCGCGUCGUCUGUGAAAUUCCGGGGCUUAACUCCGGGCGUGCAGGCGAUACGGGCAUAACUUGAGUACUGUAGGGGUAACUGGAAUUCCUGGUGUAGCGGUGAAAUGCGCAGAUAUCAGGAGGAACACCGAUGGCGAAGGCAGGUUACUGGGCAGUUACUGACGCUGAGGAGCGAAAGCAUGGGUAGCGAACAGG